rnacentral:lncRNA from 1 species
CCCGUCAGACUAAAGAUGAUGGUAGAGUUUUUCCUGUCAACGACAACUCUGCUUUGAUGCGGCGCCUCGGCCUCCCGUGGAUGAGCUGAUGAUGAGGUACGCCCUCCUCUCCUUCCUUCCCCUUCCUGUCGCCCAAACAGUGACUAGUGUGUAUGCUGCAUUUUUAUUACGCCUACUCAGAGAAAUCACACGUAGAUGAAGUUGAGGAUUGCUAGGUAGUUAGUUGCAUGGUGAAAUUGACUUGGCUUAGAAUCUGGUGGUAGCUUGUCAUAGAUGAUAUGGUUCCCUCAAUGAAGAACUCUUAUGGCAUUUUUAGAUGAAUGAAUCAGAUUGCAAAUUUGUUUGAUUUUUUUCUUUUUUUAUUCAAAAAAGGAGGUUAAACCCCCGGCCUUUGCAUCAAUAUGACGCACACGGCUAUUUUUAUUAAUUAUUCAGCAGAGUACUGCAAAUUUGUUUGAUACUCACACCUGAUUGUUGAUUCGUUCGCUAUAUAUAUGUUGGUGUCGAACAUCCUGAUCCUUGUUUGGUGAAACAGCAGCAACAACAACAACAACAACAAUAACAACAACAACAAAGCCUUUAGUCCCAAACAAGUUGGCGUAGGCUAGAGGUGAAACCCAUAAGAUCUCGCAACCAACUCAUGGCUCUGGCACAUGGAUAGCAAGCUUCCACGCACCCCUGUCCAUAGCUAGCUCUUUGUCGAUACUCCAAUCCUUUAGGUCUCUCUUAACGGACUUGUUUGGUGAAACAGCAGUUGUUUUAUUUUGGUUUGAGUUCCUAUAUUGGUGCAGAGAUAUGAUUGAAAAUAAAUGUGCUUAUGUACCGGACUGCCAGUUCACAUUUCAACAUGGCUGGUUUGUUGUAUCUUAGUUUGCCGAUAGAUUCCUGGAUGGCCAGAUUUGAUAGCUAGCUUGAUUGUUUCUCACGUUUUAUCGGGGGAUGUCCUUUGCCCAAUUCCAUGGCUGAUUGUGUGUUAUUUCGUGUGGACGGGUACAGAAUUGCAGGCACGGAGGGGUUGUACACGGAGCUGCAGGGAAAGAUGAUGGGCAAUAAGGCCACAGAGUAAGCGCUCAUCUUUGUCGAGGAGUGCGGACUCACCAGCCUUCUCACGCCGGAUCAGUUCCUCAAGGAGUGGGAGAGUAUGCUCCAGGGGAUCUCUUCCUCCUGCGCGCCUGGUGAGAACGCUUUGUCUGUAACUCCCCUUCUAAUGAUACUCUUGUGGUUUGUAUUUGUAAGUGAUGGUGUCAAGCUUCAGUUGUCAGUUGUGUGGGGCAACUAAAUUGUGAGUUUAACAUGGCUGUAUAAUUGUAGGAUCAUUACGUCUUUGAUAGUUCAUUCACUGUGACUGCUUCAGUCGCUUUCAUGACUUGCUGCAAUCUCCCUUGCUUAUUUCUUAAAUUUCUCCACUCAAUUAUAAUGCUAAUUUCCAUAAUGGAGCCUUUAAUCAUACUUAUAAUCUUCAGCUUUCAGCAUUAUAUCUUUGAAGCACCGCUGUUUCCUUUACCUCCCGCCUUGAUUUGUUUGACCUUCUGCAUUGAGCUCCUGAUGCAAUUAUGAUUUGGGCUGCUGUGUGUCGUGAAGAUAGUAAUACGAUCGAUGAUUUACAAGUAAUUUAUUUAUUGCACUCCACUUGUUUUACAUAUGAUUUUUGAUGCGUUAAAACUGUUGUUGUGGUUCAGAUGCUUGGCAAGAUUGAUGUUGUUGGCGGCACAAGGGGCAAGGCGGUGAAGAGAGAAGGAAGUGCAUGCUGAAGGAAGUGCUUUGUGUCACGCAAGUGCUAAUUGAUGGAUGGAUAUGGCUGGUGAUAGAUAUGUGUUGUGUACUUAGUAGAUAAAACGGCUUGGUUUUGUUUGCCAUGAACCUCAAAUGUUGGAAAUCGAUGUAAAUGCAUUUCCCAGCUCUUGUUUAUGUUGGGCUGGGCAAUGAGAUGAGCGAGGGCGAUACUAGAAACAUGCAUGCCACCGUAAAUUUCUGUAUUUCUUAAAUGAAGUGGAGGAAUUUAAGAAAUCUGAUUCAUGGAAUGACCAUGAAUCACACUCUGUGAAAUGAAAUGAAAAUGCAUCAAGCAGGAGUGAAGAAAUGAGCUUCAUUUUCAAGCCGAG